UUCCCUGUGGCUCAGUUGGUAGAGCAUGGUGUUUGCAACGCCAGCAUGGUGUGUGCAGCGCCAGGGUUAUGGGUUCGAUUCCCACGGGGGGC
rfam:Salmo salar isolate Sally breed double haploid chromosome ssa29, whole genome shotgun sequence.